rnacentral:tRNA from 2 species
GGCUCGUUGGUCUAGCGGUAUGAUUCUCGCUUUGGGUGUGAGAGGUCAUAGGUUCAAAUCCCAGACGAGCCC